rnacentral:rRNA from 1 species
CCUGGCCUUGACAUACUAAGAACUUUCCAGAGAUGGAUUGGUGCCUUCGGGAACUUAGAUACAGGUGCUGCAUGGCUGUCGUCAGCUCGUGUCGUGAGAUGUUGGGUUAAGUCCCGCAACGAGCGCAACCCUUUUCCUUAUUUGCCAGCGGGUUAAGCCGGGAACUUUAAGGAUACUGCCAGUGACAAACUGGAGGAAGGCGGGGACGACGUCAAGUCAUCAUGGCCCUUACGGCCAGGGCUACACACGUGCUACAAUGGUCGGUACAAAGGGUUGCUACCUCGCGAGAGGAUGCUAAUCUCAAAAAGCCGAUCGUAGUCCGGAUCGCAGUCUGCAACUCGACUGCGUGAAGUCGGAAUCGCUAGUAAUCGCGGAUCAGAAUGCCGCGGUCGAAUACGUUCCCGGGCCUUGUACACACCGCCCGUCACACCAUGGGAGUUUGUUGCACCAGAAGUAGGUAGUCUAACCGCAAGGAGGACGCUUACCACGGUGUGGCCGAUGACUGGGGUGAAGUCGUAACAAGGUAGGCGUAGAUGA